rnacentral:rRNA from 1 species
GGGUGAGUAACGCGUAGGAAUCUACCCAGUAGAGGGGGAUAGCCCGGGGAAACUCGGAUUAAUACCGCAUACGCCCUAAGGGGGAAAGGCCGGGAUCUUCGGACCGGUCGCUAUUGGAUGAGCCUGCGUAAGAUUAGCUAGUUGGUGAGGUAAAGGCUCACCAAGGCGACGAUCCUUAGCUGGUCUGAGAGGACGAUCAGCCACACUGGGACUGAGACACGGCCCAGACUCC